GCCUCGAUAGCUCAGUUGGUAGAGCAAGGGACUGAAAAUCCCUGUGUCACCGGUUCGAUUCCUGUUCGAGGCACCA
rnacentral:tRNA from 1 species